rnacentral:rRNA from 1 species
AUAUUCCACCAUACCACCCUGAGCAUGCUUGAUCUCAUCUAAUUUCAGAAGCUAGCAGGACUGAGUCUGGUUAGUACCUGGAUGGGAGAACAGUAUUGUAAACCCAUGUUCCAUGAAAUAAA